rnacentral:rRNA from 1 species
GACGUAGGGCGCGAGCGUUGUCCGGAUUUAUUGGGCGUAAAGAGCUCGUAGGCGGCUUGUCGCGUCGACUGUGAAAUCCCGCGGCUCAACCGCGGGUCUGCAGUCGAUACGAGCAAACUAGAGUGUUGCAGGGGAGACUGGAAUUCCUGGUGUAGCGGUGAAAUGCGCAGAUAUCAGGAGGAACACCGGUGGCGAAGGCGGGUCUCUGGGCAACAACUGACGCUGAGGAGCGAAAGCGUGGGGGAGCGAACAGG